UGGAGUUGAUGAACUGUCUGAGCCUGACCUUGUAGAGUGGAGGCAAAAAAAAAAAACUGAUUUAAUGAGCCUGAUCC